CUCAAAUUAGGUUUUUGCAAUCAAACACUGAAUGUUCAAUCAAGUUCGGCGGCUGGUGAUGUAUUCCAUUCACGAUGCAAAUUAUUGAAUGUUGGUUUCUCAUCUCCCAAUAUCCAAUCACUGCAUCAUCAAUGAUAGUUUGAAGCGAAAGAGUCAUGGAAUGUUGUUGUUUGAGUUAUUCGAUUUUGGUUUGUGCCGGACAUGAAUUCGAAACAUAAGUUUUAUACUAUGGGAGAUGGUUCCAAUGGAUGAGAAGGGUUUCAAGAUUCAAGCUUCUAUUCGUAAGGCUCUGCUGUCUCGAUUUGAGAAUAAGAUUCGUGAGGGUAUUGUUUAUAAUUUACAAUAUUUUGGGGUUGCCGCUAAUACUGGAGGAUAUAGGACCACGAAACACCUGUUCAAGUUGAAUUUCCA